ACAACAUUCUGACCGUCGGUCUACCAAGCAAUAUCCAGUUUGGUGGAAGUUCUUCCUUUCGUCGU
rnacentral:pre_miRNA from 1 species